GACGAACGCUGGCGGCGUGCUUAACACGUGCAAGUCGAACGGAAAGGCCCUGCUUUUGUGCGGUGCUCGAGUGGCGAACGGGUGAGUAACACGUGAGUAACCUGCCCUUGACUUUGGGAUAACUUUAGGAAACUGGGGCUAAUACCGGAUAGGAGCUCCUGCUGCAUGGUGGGGGUUGGAAAGUUUCGGCGGUUGGGGAUGGACUCGCGGCUUAUCAGCUUGUUGGUGGGGUAGUGGCUUACCAAGGCUUUGACGGGUAGCCGGCCUGAGAGGGUGACCGGCCACAAUGGGACUGAGAUACGGCCCAGACUCCUACGGGAGGCAGCAGUGGGGAAUAUUGCACAAUGGGCGGGAGCCUGAUGCAGCAACGCCGCGUGCGGGAUGACGGCCUUCGGGUUGUAAACCGCUUUCGCCUGUGACGAGGCGUGAGUGACGGUAAUGGGUAAAGGAGCACCGGCUAACUACGUG
rnacentral:rRNA from 1 species